rnacentral:lncRNA from 1 species
CUCUCAACUUUCAAAUGAAGAGACUAAGGUUCUCAGAGGUGAAAUAGCUUGUCCAAGGUCACGCUGCUGGUAAGAGGCAGAGCCAGGAUAUGGGUCUGUAUGAUUUCAGAAUCUUUUUUUUUUUUUUUUUUGAGAUUGAGUCUUGCUCUGUUGCCCAGGCUGGAGUGUAGUGGUGCGAUCUUGGCUCACUGCAACCUCUGCCUCCUAGGUUCAAGCGAUUCUCCUGCUGCAGCCUCCCGAGUAGCUAGGAUUACAGGUGUGAGCCACCACACCUGGCCAAUUUUUGUAUUUUUAGUAGAGAUGGAGUUUCACCAUGUUGGCUAGGCCAGUCUCGAACUCCUGACCUCAAGUGAUCCACCCGCCUCAGACCCCCUACAUAGCUAGGAUUACAGGCAUGAGCCACUGGGCCUGGCCUUAUUUCAGAAUCUUAACCCUUAAACUCUGACCACAUGCCCUAGUGAGGGAGGCAAGCAUACCCAGAGAGGUCUUAAGAUGCCUGAGGUGCCAGGAGAGCAUGGAGAUGCCUGGGAAAAAGUAUCAUAUACAUUUGGAAACUUGAAAAUUGACAUAUGAUAAUGGACUUUAGGAAAUGAAUGUGUAGAGGAAGAAGUCAGGUGAUGCUGGUGUCCUGGGGACCACUCCACGGAAGGAGAAGACACUGGGAAUAGAAGACCUUUGAAAAUCGUGAUGGGCUUAAAGAUCCCAGCGCAGGUCCCACCACUUAUUCGCUCUCACCUGGCAUCUCAAUCUCUGCAUCUGUAAAAAUGAAGAAAAUAAUCCAUCUCCCUGGAUGACUUCAUGAGAUUUUUUGUAGUCAUCAGUGAGGUACUGUACAUAGACGUGCUGUAAGGACGAAAAGUUCUUCACAAUAGGAUGCAUGGGAAAGCAAGCAGGGAGCAGUGGAGGAGGCUGAACCCAGAACGUGGGCUGAGGAUGCUGGGAGGGAACAGGGUUGGGGGCUGAAUCCUAACAGGAGGAAGCUACUGAGCUGCUUCUGUAAGUUGGGCCUGGAUGGAAACCCUGGAAGCAGUAACUCCAAGAAAGAUUCAAAAGUGGGACAAGAAGAGCAAGAACCAGGAAUGGAAAAACUCCAAGGAACAUGAGUGAAGAGCCUCGAAAAAACAGGACACUCACAGUUCAGGAAACUACCAAGGGUCCAAGGAGAGGCCUUGCUUGGCCGUGGUGUGGUCCUGCAACUCCAGGGCAGACCUAGACUCAUGGGAAAGUCCCUGCUUUGUGAUGAGGCUGAAAGAGGAUGAGUGGGGAGUGGCCGGAAGAAGAAAGGGUGUAACCAGAGACCAGUGUCAACAAGGAAUCUGGCUUGGAACGCUUUUGUCUGCAGCCCUCUUUGGAGCGUGACUUGCUCUUUCAGAGGUCUGUAUUUCUCUACCUGGACUACCCUGAGAGCUAACCCCAGUUAUUGGUCUGGAAGCAACGAAUGAAGGCCGGGGCAGAGCUUGAGGAGGGCAACAUCAUUUUGUCACAGUCGCCAUCAAGAAUCUAGUUGCAGACUGGGCGCUGUGGCUCACGCCUGUAAUCCCUGCACUUUGGGAGCCAAGGUGGGUGGAUCACUGGAGCCCAGGAGCUCAAGAGCAGCCUGGGCAACGUGGUGAAAGCCCAUUUCUACAAAAAAAUGCAAAAAUUAGCAGAGUGUGUUGGUGCAUGCCUGUGGUCUCAGCUACUCGGGAGGCUGAGAUGGGACGAUUGCUUGGGCCUGGGAGGUCAAGGCUGCAGUGAGCUGUGAUCACACCACUGCACUCCAGCCUGAGUGACACAGCAAGAACCUGUCUGAGAAAAAAAAAAUCUUGUUUCACCUAGAUCUGAAGAAGAAAACAGAAGCAACAUUCAAAUUAACAUCAGUCAACUGAUGGAAUAUUUUAGAUGAAGUAAGAGAAGCCAAGGCAUGUACCCUCAGGCUCUGGGCUUCUCCCUGCAAGGUUGGGAAGAAAUUUGGAGGAGGCAAAGUGGGAGCAAGUCAGAUGGAAGAGACAUUAUGGGUCAGGAAACCAGUUGCUAUGUCAUGAACUGCUCUAUGAAGAAGCCUGUUUGUCAAGGAUCUGAAGCCUCCUGCCAAUAGCUGCAUGAACGAGUUUGGAAGAUCCAGUUCUACCCUUCAGAUGACUGUAGCUUGACGUCAACCUCAUGAGAGACCCUGAGACAGAACCACAAAGCGAAGUCCCUCCUGGAUCCCUGAUGCUACACAACUAUGUAAUAAAUGUUUGCUGUUUUAACU